rnacentral:rRNA from 1 species
AGAGUUUGAUCAUGGCUCAGAACGAACGCUGGCGGCAGGCCUAAUACAUGCAAGUCGAGCGCGCCCUUCGGGGUGAGCGGCGGACGGGUGAGUAACGCGUGGGAAUAUGCCCUUCUCUAAGGAAUAGCCUCUGGAAACGGAGAGUAAUACCUUAUACGCCCUUUGGGGGAAAGAUUUAUCGGAGAAGGAUUAGCCCGCGUUAGAUUAGGUAGUUGGUGGGGUAAUGGCCUACCAAGCCUACGAUCUAUAGCUGGUUUGAGAGGAUAAUCAGCCACACUGGGACUGAGACACGGCCCAGACUCCUACGGGAGGCAGCAGUAGGGAAUCUUAGACAAUGGGGGCAACCCUGAUCUAGCCAUGCCGCGUGUGUGAUGAAGGCCCUAGGGUCGUAAAGCACUUUCGCCAGAGAUGAUAAUGACAGUAUCUGGUAAAGAAACCCCGGCUAACUCCGUGCCAGCAGCCGCGGUAAUACGGAGGGGGUUAGCGUUGUUCGGAAUUACUGGGCGUAAAGCGCACGUAGGCGGAUUAGUAAGUUAGAGGUGAAAUCCCAGGGCUCAACCCUGGAACUGCCUUUAAUACUGCUAGUCCUGA